CCCAAUGGAUGAUUGGGUUGAUAGGCCGGGUGUGGAAGCGCGGUAACGUGUGGAGCUGACCGGUACUAAUAGGCCGAGGACUUGACCAC
rnacentral:rRNA from 1 species